rnacentral:lncRNA from 1 species
CAUCCAGGAACUCUCAUGCUAGCAGGAUGAGGUAAUGACUAUUUCCCAUACUCGUGUCAAUUUUGAGCAAUGCUAGGAAUUUCCAUAUGUCCAAACAGCUGUUUAUCAGGAAAUGCAACAAGGUACUUUUGACACUGAGCGUGAAAGGAAGUCAUUGAACCAAAAUCUUCCAAAAAGACUGGAACAUAAGAGAGCGGAUGAAGAGCGUAAUAGAAGAGAAGUGCCAGGGAGGAGGAUUAUCUUAGGCAGAGCACACUGAGGAUGGAGAGUUACCAGCCCUCCCGAGCUGUCGUUGGCACUGAACCAAUGAGAGCCAGCCAUGUGCCUGUCUGUGCCUUGUGUUUUUCUUCGAUGCCCCUCCAAGAGGACAGGAAUUGGACCCACUUUGGGUAGCCUUGUACAAUGCAACCCAGCACCCAGCAACGUCCUGAAGAGCCUGCUGACUGCUCUGGACGAAGCGGAGCAGGGCUCUUCCUCCCUCCACUGGAAGGUGGUGGGCAAGAAGCAUCAGUGCUUCUGGUAUUUGACUCAGUGAGACCCAGAUAUUGUAGAUCUGCCAUCAAAAAUAUUUGUAAAGCCGUUUGCACCACUAUUAUCCUUCUGCUCCUUUUAAAACCUAACAGGCAGGCCCAACUUGGAGACUUCCAAGAAUGAAACACCACCUUCAGAAAACGUGGUAAUUGAUAGAAGAGUCUGGUGCUACUGCAUGAUGCAUUCCAUACCCUCUGGGCUCCUCUCUCUAGUUCUUUAGCCUAGUCUCUCUCAAGCUAUGAUGAGAAAGGCACUGAUUAUUUCAAAAUGGUGCAAAUCACGUGUUGUUUGAAGUUGUCAAAGACACUGGAAUGAAAUUUCUGAAGAACCAAUCUUUUCCCACUGUGUCUCUCCAUCAAAAGGAAAAGCUAGGCAAGCUUGUUGAAAUGAUCAGCUCCUAUGUGUUCAGCCUGAGUAUAGGGUAGCAGGAAACUGCACCCUAAUUUUAGUGUUCUGCAUGGACUCUCAUUACUGCCCAAGCACAUGGCUCUCACAUGCAUAAGUCUUUCUUGAGUACUGGUUGCUAACCCUCCUCCACACUUGGUUUGCAGAGGAUAUUUCCAGAGUUAGAAGGGUCUUCCAGAAUUUCAGAAAAAGACCACCAGAUAUUCAAUAAACCGUGGUUUUUCUAAAGG